rnacentral:rRNA from 1 species
GGAGUUAGCCGGUGCUUCUUCUGUGAGUGAUGUCCUUCCUGCCGGUUAUUGACCCGCAGGCCUUCUUCCUCACUGAAAGUGCUUUACAACCCGAAGGCCUUCUUCACACACGCGGCAUGGCUGGAUCAGGGUUGCCCCCAUUGUCCAAUAUUCCCCACUGCUGCCUCCCGUAGGAGUCUGGGCCGUGUCUCAGUCCCAGUGUGGCUGAUCAUCCUCUCAGACCAGCUACGGAUCGUCGCCUUGGUGAGCCGUUACCUCACCAACCAGCUAAUCCGACAUAGGCUCAUCCGAUAGCGCGAGGCCCGAAGGUCCCCCGCUUUCCCCCGUAGGGCGUAUGCGGUAUUAGCCUGGGUUUCCCCAGGUUAUCCCCCACUACCGGGCAGAUUCCUAUGCAUUACUCACCCGUCCGCCGCUCGCCACCAGGGAGCAAGCUCCCCGUGCUGCCGCUCGACUUGCAUGUGUAGCUCGCCGCCACGCGUCAUCUGAGCGAGAGUACAACUACUCGA